AUGUGAGUUCCAAAGAAAAACAAGAGUUUCUGGCCUCCUGAAGCUAUAAUCUAUCAGAGAAGACUGAUUCCAUAAAUAAAGUCUCUUAAAGUAUCAUUGUGGAUGAACCCAUCUUAAAGGAUAAAGGGAAAGUAGGUCCUGUGUGUGGAGAAUUUCCUGAAGGAAAUUGUUGUGACUUCGGACUCUGUUGUUCGGCAAGACGACCUGACAGCGUUUACAGGUACACAUUAGAGGAGUAAACUGAGGCACAGAGAAGGCAAAUACCUGCUCCAAGCUACACAAGCAGGGAAGUAAAAGAGCCAGGAUUCAAUAAGCAUCAGGAUCUGCGGCCCAGGCUUCUGUAUCUGUCAGUUCAGGCCACAAUAAAAUAGCAGAGAUGGAGUAACUCAAGCAAGAGAAUUUUGUUUUCCCAUAGUGGUGGAGAUCGGAAGUUCCAGAUCAAGAUGUCAGCAGGACUGGUGUCUGAGUUCAUGGAUCUCAAUGGAUCUCAAUGCCAAGAGGUCACGAAGCAGCCUAAAAUAAAACAGGUCAGUAC